AGUGAACGCUGGCGGUAGGCCUAACACAUGCAAGUCGAACGGCAGCACAGUAAGAGCUUGCUCUUACGGGUGGCGAGUGGCGGACGGGUGAGGAAUACAUCGGAAUCUACUUUUUCGUGGGGGAUAACGUAGGGAAACUUACGCUAAUACCGCAUACGACCUACGGGUGAAAGCAUGGGAUCUUCGGACCUUGCGCGAUUGAAUGAGCCGAUGUCGGAUUAGCUAGUUGGCGGGGUAAAGGCCCACCAAGGCGACGAUCCGUAGCUGGUCUGAGAGGAUGAUCAGCCACACUGGAACUGAGACACGGUCCAGACUCCUACGGGAGGCAGCAGUGGGGAAUAUUGGACAAUGGGCGCAAGCCUGAUCCAGCCAUACCGCGUGGGUGAAGAAGGCCUUCGGGAUGUAAAGCCCUUUUGUUGGGAAAGAAAAGCAGCAGGUUAAUACCCCGCUGUUCUGACGGUACCCAAAGAAUAAGCACCGGCUAACUUCGUG
rnacentral:rRNA from 1 species